AAAGUUAUAGGUUAAGAAUAGACUAGUAUCCUUCAAAGAUAACAGUGGGAAGGGAAACCCUAACUUUG
rnacentral:tRNA from 1 species